rnacentral:rRNA from 1 species
UUGGCCGAAGCUGCUCUGAGACAUGAAGGUCACGUCUGCAGUGAGUAACGCGUGGAUGAUCUACCUAUGAGAUGGGGAUAACUAUUAGAAAUAGUAGCUAAUACCGAAUAAGGUCAGUUAAUUUGUUAAUUGAUGAAAGGAAGCCUUUAAAGCUUCGCUUGUAGAUGAGUCUGCGUCUUAUUAGCUAGUUGGUAGGGUAAAUGCCUACCAAGGCAAUGAUAAGUAACCGGCCUGAGAGGGUGAACGGUCACACUGGAACUGAGAUACGGUCCAGACUCCUACGGGAGGCAGCAGCUAAGAAUCUUCCGCAAUGGGCGAAAGCCUGACGGAGCGACACUGCGUGAAUGAAGAAGGUCGAAAGAUUGUAAAAUUCUUUUAUAAAUGAGGAAUAAGCUUUGUAGGAAAUGACAAAGUGAUGACGUUAAUUUAUGAAUAAGCCCCGGCUAAUUACGUGCCAGCAGCCGCGGUAAUACGUAAGGGGCGAGCGUUGUUCGGGAUUAUUGGGCGUAAAGGGUGAGUAGGCGGAUAUAUAAGUCUAUGCAUAAAAUACCACAGCUCAACUGUGGACCUAUGUUGGAAACUAUAUGUCUAGAGUCUGAUAGAGGAAGUUAGAAUUUCUGGUGUAAGGGUGGAAUCUGUUGAUAUCAGAAAGAAUACCGGAGGCGAAGGCGAACUUCUGGGUCAAGACUGACGCUGAGUCACGAAAGCGUAGGGAGCAAACAGGAUUAGAUACCCUGGUAGUCUACGCUGUAAACGAUGCACACUUGGUGUUAACUAAAAGUUAGUACCGAAGCUAACGUGUUAAGUGUGCCGCCUGGGGAGUAUGCUCGCAAGAGUGAAACUCAAAGGAAUUGACGGGGGCCCGCACAAGCGGUGGAGCAUGUGGGUUAAUUCGAUGAUACGCGAGGAACCUUACCAGGGCUUGACAUAUAUAGGAUAUAGUUAGAGAUAAUUAUUCCCCGUUUGGGGUCUAUAUACAGGUGCUGCAUGGUUGUCGUCAGCUCGUGCUGUGAGGUGUUGGGUUAAGUCCCGCAACGAGCGCAUAUCCGCCCCUGGAGGUGAGUGACACUAGCGACUGA